UAGUGGAGGGGAUUGAAAACCACGGGACAAAAACAAAAUCUCUUGUCGUUUUAGAUCCAAUCGGUUUCUAGGGUUCUCGAUAAAAACCAGCCAUUGAUCUGAGAUGAGAUGGCUGAUAUCAUGAAGCAAAUCUUAGCGAAGCCGAUCCAACUGUCUGACCAGGUGAUGAAAGCGGCUGAUUAGGCUAGUUCGUUCAAGCAGGAGUGCACGGAACUCAAGGCUAAGACUGAGAAGCUUGCUGCUCUUCUCCACACCGGAUCCCUUGAAGACCGCUCCGAUGCUGCCGCUUCCCUCGUUUCUCUUACCCGUCAUAACGAUUGCUACACUAAGCUUAUCAUCGCGGAAGGAGGCAUAGGGCCUCUCUUUACAGCAGGGGAACAAGUGUCGAGAGAAACAUUGGGUGUGUAGAACUAGAAGCUCAUCGGAGUUUUAGCUCACUUAUCCAUUCCAUCCGCAGCUAAGAGAGUUUUUAUCAAGUCGAGGGUUUGGCGUGAGAUGUUCUGUUUCGCUCGAUAGAGAUACUCCCAUUACUGAUUCGUUCUCUUCUCACGGGAGUAUGUAGUCUCCUUCUUUGUUGGCCAAAAGUUUUCAUUUUUAUUAAUUGUUAGUGUUGCUUUGUUGGUUUACUGAGUGAUUAUGGAUCUUAGUAUAACAGAUUUCUUCACUCGAGCUAAACAAGUGAAGAGAAUUGAGAUCAGUGAUCAGCAUAGGUAAUGCGACUAAAAUCAGUGUGUGGUGGUCAUCUAUGUGUAAGUGUGGUUUAAGUAGUCUUGUUUGUUUCUCAAUUGAGCCUGAGUUUAUGGAAGCAUGGAAGAUUGAUUACAUCUAUUGCGUAUAUUUUGGGUUUUGGGGGCGUUAAUUAGCUUCGUUUUGGGUUUAAUUUCAAAUCUUUUGUUGUAGGUUUUCAAUGUUGUUUAGUGACAUAUCGUGAGAAGAGACAUUCAUACAUGUACUUGACCUACUUCGCUACUGGUGGAGCUCUCUAGCUGUAUAUUUAUCUGGUCAUGUUCCUGAGUUAUCUUGGCUACUCAAAAGAAAUAUUUGUAUGCUCUUUGAUCCAUCACAGUGGGUGCAAAUUACUUUCACCGAAAGGAAGACCAAUGAGAUCGAAGAGCCAAAGAAAAAGCAUAAAAGAAAGGCUAAGGCUUAGAAGAUUUGUGGGUUAACAUAUUUUGGAUGUUUAUUAUGUAUCUCGGUUUUUCUUUUGAACUUAUGUAGGAUGAUAUGUAACUCUUGCUUGUGUUGAAUCCAUGUAGGAUGAUAUGUAAGACUAUUGCUUGUGUUGCA